CUCCUCCUCACAUUCCUUAUUCAGUGCACAGGGUCCUGGGCCCAGUCUGUGCUGACUCAGCAGCCCUCACUCUCUGGGACUCCAGGACAGAAGGUCACCAUCUCCUGCAUUGGGAGCAGCACAAAUAUUGGGGAUGGCUAUACUGUGCAGUGGUACCAGCAGCUCCCAGAAACUGCCCCCAAACUCAUCAUCUAUGGUAGUAGUACUCGACCCUCAGGGGUCCCUGAUCGUUUCUCUGGCUCCAGAUCUGGAAACUCUGGUUCACUGACCAUUACUGGGCUUCUGCUUGAGGAUGAGGCUGACUAUUACUGUCAGUCUUAUGACAAAAGCCUUAAGGCACCCACAGUGCUCCAGGCUCAUGGGGAAGAAAUAUUUGACAGACAAUAA